GAAACAAUUUGAAUAAUUCUACUCGAUUGAAACAGUUUUAGAUGUAGGUGGGAUUUUGGAGGCAAAAUUGUCACCAACCAGUUGAAAAAAAACAUAACUAUUAUGUUUGUAUGAAAUUAUGUUAUGCAGUGACUAUGAUGAAAUUUCCCUAUAAAUAAGGGGUACUUUUAGCAGAUU